UCCCCAGCACAAGGCGUACCGAGGUAGACUACACAAGUUGACACUGCAUAUAAAUUAAAUUCAUAACAAUUAUUUAAAAUCAUAGUCCACACAAACUAUUCUAGGCCCUAAUAAGGUUAGGAUAGGGAGCAACUUUAUCCACAUCACACUUUUUUUAAUACACAUUUUAGAAAACCCAUGCAUUGAUCUUGAUUGAAAAUAUGUUUUUUUUUUUUCCAUGAAAAAAAAAAAGCAUUGUAACCAAUAAUUGAUCUAUAAACGUACUUUCGAACGGUACUGGAUUUUUUAUUAUGUGUACAUGCAUAGUUAUUUGGGGGUGUAAAAAGUUAAUCAGUUGUGUUAUUAGAAAUAAUGGGUUUGCAUGCCUUGAUAAAGUUCAGUUAAUUGACCCAGUUUCAUGGUGGUGUUUUUCUUCUAUUGGAGACAUUUCCAGAAAUUAUAUGAUCCUAGAAAUAUUGUUUAAAACUAUGGAUAAAGAACAUGUGAAUAUUAAUUUUUCUGUAAAAGUUCAAAAUUUUCCCUUUAUAUUUCACUUUUUUUUUCUCUUUUUUUUAACAAGUUUUCACUUUUUUUCUGUUAUUAAAUGAAUAAAUAGAAAACUAAAUAUUUAAGCCGGGUUAGGCCCAACAAUAAAAAGGGUUGUUCAAGUAAGCCAAUAUGAUAUAAAGGCCCAGCAAAAAGGAGUGUUGUCCCUACCACUAGGGUUGAGCACGAAUCUACGAUCUGACUUAAAAUCAACAUAACUGCGAACACAUGGAAACGUAUGAUUUGAGUCCACAAGAAUACCCUGUUUAUGAAAAAAAAAAAAAAAAAUCAUCAUCUUUGUGCCUUCUAAAUUUUAUUGAAAGAUUUCUACCUCCUCUUGAAAUAUUGUUUGUUUUUGUUGUUCUAUAAC
rnacentral:lncRNA from 1 species